GACGAACGCUGGCGGCGUGCCUAAUACAUGCAAGUAGAACGCACAGUUUAUACCGUAGCUUGCUACACCAUAGACUGUGAGUUGCGAACGGGUGAGUAACGCGUAGGUAACCUGCCUGGUAGCGGGGGAUAACUAUUGGAAACGAUAGCUAAUACCGCAUAAUAUUAAUUAUUGCAUGAUAAUUAAUUGAAAGGUGCAAUUGCACCACUACCAGAUGGACCUGCGUUGUAUUAGCUAGUAGGUGAGGUAACGGCUCACCUAGGCGACGAUACAUAGCCGACCUGAGGGGGUGAUCGGCCACACUGGGACUGAGACACGGCCCAGACUCCUACGGGAGGCAGCAGUAGGGAAUCUUCGGCAAUGGACGAAAGUCUGACCGAGCAACGCCGCGUGAGUGAAGAAGGUUUUCGGAUCGUAAAGCUCUGUUGUAAGAGAAGAACGGGUGUGAGAGUGGAAAGUUCACACUGUGACGGUAUCUUACCAGAAGGGGACGGCUAACUACGUG
rnacentral:rRNA from 1 species